GACGUAGGGUGCGAGCGUUGUCUGGAUUUAUUGGGCGUAAAGAGCUCGUAGGCGGCUCGUCGCGUCGACCGUGAAAACCCGCGGCUUAACUGCGGGCUUGCGGUUGAUACGGGCGGGCUAGAGUUCGGUAGGGGAGACGUGGAAUUCCUGGUGUAGCGGUGAAAUGCGCAGAUAUCAGGAGGAACACCGGUGGCGAAGGCGGGUCUCUGGGCCGAUACUGACGCUGAGGAGCGAAAGCGUGGGGAGCGAACAGG
rnacentral:rRNA from 1 species